rnacentral:lncRNA from 7 species
UACAAACAACAGAGAAGGACUAAUAGAAAACGUGAGGAUGAAAAGUGACUUGGUAAAACAACGAUGUGUUCCAAGGAAGAACAGCAAAAUAAAAACAAAACGGACCUCAAUGAACUGGCAGCACGAGAAACUCCAGUUAGUUGGAGGAGAAAUACACCUAUUGGAAGGGCUAGAGAAGAACAUCGUCGGUUGCGUGGGAUGCUGCAAGCUUUCCACCACGGAUGUCGCUGUCCUCUGGGGAGCCUGGGGAUCAUGGCUGGGCUGUGGAGCACCAGUGGAACACAAACAGCACAACAGUAGGGAAGUGCCUCCACGACAGCUCCACAGCAGUGCUGCACAGAGGUACACAUCUGGGACCGACUCAGAAGCAAAAAUUCCACUCUGCUCUCAGCCAGUAGCAGAGAGUUAAUGACUACUAGCAACAAAGAGGCAUUAAAAUGAAAUCUGUUUGUCACAUCGGAUGUGAAACCACUAAUACACACCUAUUUCAUUCAUG